AAAAAGAAUAAGGGGACAUACUCAGAAGUUAUGAAAUGUGGAAGGUGGAAGUAAGGUGAUAUCAAUAAUAUGGGAGAUUCUUCAGCCUGCUAAAGUGACAAUGUUCAUUGUUACCUUCUGGUACUUCAAGACAUCAGCAAAAAUUAAAUAAAUUAAGAGAAUGCACCUAAGAAGCAAGAAGUUGGUGACCAGCUGUAAAGCCUAGCGUGCUAUUAAAGAGGAGCCUGAAGUCCCUUGGCAGUGAAAAAUUAUAGAAAACCUCUUCCACGUGCUUAAUUUUGUUGGAUUUUGCCUUGGAUUGGAAUAUUCUUUUCAAGAUUAUAAACAUAUUUGUCACUGGGGGAAGAGUUACCUGACUUUACAGGAGCUGUUCUCAUACUUGCACGCAGACAUGUCGUCCCCACAGAUCCCCUUCUACGGAGAGGCACUUGAUACGGCAUUAUACGGCCUGAGCGGAGCAGCAUUGCCAAGGCGUUGAAGAAAUACUGAUGAUGAUGAUGAUGAUGAUCUCACUUGACUUCCUUUUUGAGUCCUAAAGUAGGAGUAAGAAUUUGUCACAAGACUUUGUGUUUCCAUUGAGAAACAAGUUUUCAAAUAUAAUUUUGGUAAAUGACAGUUAAUAGAAGUAGAUAGACUCUAAAAAUGUUUGACUGCUUGCAUGAUCCAAGCCUUUGUCUUGCAAAGCAAAAAAACUGUGUUUCCAGUGAUGGUAAAUCAGUUAACUACCUAAACUUUCACUAAGAUGCACGCCAACAUGAUAACACAAUUGUGUUGAACAAAUAUGUUUUGAAAGACUUCCCCUAGGAUAACAUAUAAGCAGUGUUUGUGACUUCAGUUUUUGUUUGUCAAUCAUAGGAAGCUAGCUACAUUUUGCUAACUGAAUUGAAAAAUCACAUUCAUUUUGUGGAUACAGCAUAAGAUAAUUGUCAAAGUAUUAAUAAGUGAUUGAAAAUUAUGCUAAUGACAAAACAGCAUGAUCUGACUCUCAGAGGUGUACAUAGGUAUAUUGCAAUAUCUUAAACUAAGGUUCAGGAAAUCUUGCCUCAGAAAUGAGGACUUGAAUUUGGAAACUUGAGGAAUAUGUUAUAAUUAUUAAGGAAUAUCAGAUUAGAUACCUGAAGGAGAGCUUGAUGUCUAAGAAUGUGAACUGCUUUGACGGUGAAACCACCCAGGCAGCUACUAAGGUAA
rnacentral:lncRNA from 1 species